ACACUGCCCUAUAUUCCAAGUAUUUUAGCACUUCACAGACAAUGAAGGGAUAACCAAUUAUUGUUGAAAUGUCAUGUAGAAAAGUAAAAAACUAAUUGGUAUUUUUAUCUCCAGGACAGUUCCUUUCGCAAUCACACAUGGUCAUACCAUUUCUAUAUCUAAAUCAUCUGUAUAAAACACAUUGCAGGGAGAUCUGGCAUUCAUCUUG
rnacentral:misc_RNA from 1 species